UGACUGGUGGACUAGUGGCUAGCAUGUGGCACUCUUACCACCACGACCCGGGUUCAAGUCACGCUCAGUGAG